GACAAACGCUGGCGGCGUACCUAAGACAUGCAAGUCGAACGGGUACGGACCCUUCGGGGUGGCGUGCUAGUGGCGGACGGGUGAGUAACGCGUAGGAACCUAUCGCACAGUGGGGGAUACCACGGGGAAACCGGUGUUAAUACCGCAUGUGGUCAGCAAUGACGAAAGCAGCAAUGCGCUGUGUGCGGGGCCUGCGUCCGAUUAGCUCGUUGGUGGGGUAAGGGCCUACCAAGGCGACGAUCGGAGCUGGUCUGAGAGGAUGGUCAGCCACACUGGGACUGAGACACGGCCCAGACUCCUACGGGAGGCAGCAGUUAGGAAAUUUUUGCAAUGGGGAAACCCGUGACAGAGUAACGCCGCGUGGAGGAUGACGGCCUCGGUUGUAACGUACCUUUCC
rnacentral:rRNA from 1 species